rnacentral:rRNA from 1 species
UACAGAGGUGGCUAGCGUUGUUCGGAUUCAUUGGGUGUAAAGGGUGCGUAGGCGGCUUGAAAAGUCAGAUGUGAAAGCCCGCAGCUCAACUGCGGAAUUGCAUUUGAAACUCUCAGGCUAGAGUGUGAGAGAGGUGAAGGGAAUUCCCGGUGUAAGGGUGAAAUCUGCAGAGAUCGGGAGGAACACCAGUAGCGAAGGCGCUUCACUGGCUCGCAACUGACGCUGAGUGCACGAAGGCGUGGGGAGCAAACGGG